CUAACACAUGCAAGUCGAACGGUAACAGGUCUUCGGAUGCUGACGAGUGGCGCACGGGUGAGUAACGCGUGGAUAUCUGCCUAUUAGUGGGGGACAACUUGUGGAAACGCAAGCUAAUACCGCAUAAUCCCUACGGGGGAAAGCAGGGGACCUUCGGGCCUUGUGCUGAUAGAUGAGUCCGCGUCUGAUUAGCUAGUUGGUAGGGUAAAGGCCUACCAAGGCGAUGAUCAGUAUCUGGUUUGAGAGGAUGAUCAGACACACUGGAACUGAGACACGGUCCAGACUUCUACGGAAGGCAGCAGUGGGGAAUAUUGCACAAUGGGCGCAAGCCUGAUGCAGCGACGCCGCGUGUGGGAAGAAGGCUUUAGGGUUGUAAACCACUUUCAAUUGGGAAGAAGAGAUGAGAGUUAAUAACUUUCUGAUUUGACGGUACCUUUAGAAGAAGCACCGGCUAAUUUCGUGCCAGCAGCCGCGGUAAUACGAAAGGUGCAAGCGUUGUUCGGAUUUACUGGGCGUAAAGAGAGUGUAGGUUGUUUAUUAAGUCGGAUGUGAAAUCCCGGGGCUCAACCUCGGAACUGCAUUCGAUACUGGUAGACUAGAGUUCGGGAGGGGUAAGCGGAAUUCCGUGUGUAGCAGUGAAAUGCGUAGAUAUACGGAGGAACACCUGAGGCGAAGGCGGCUUACUGGACCGAUACUGACACUGAGACUCGAAAGCGUGGGUAGCAAACAGGAUUAGAUACCCUGGUAGUCCACGCCCUAAACGAUGUCAACUAGCCGUUGCGGGUAUCGACCCCUGCAGUGGCGAAGCUAACGCGAUAAGUUGACCGCCUGGGGAGUACG
rnacentral:rRNA from 1 species